rnacentral:rRNA from 1 species
GAUGAACGCUGGCGGCGUGCCUAAUACAUGCAAGUCGAGCGAACAGACGAGGAGCUUGCUCCUCUGACGUUAGCGGCGGACGGGUGAGUAACACGUGGAUAACCUACCUAUAAGACUGGGAUAACUUCGGGAAACCGGAGCUAAUACCGGAUAAUAUAUUGAACCGCAUGGUUCAAUAGUGAAAGACGGUUUUGCUGUCACUUAUAGAUGGAUCCGCGCCGCAUUAGCUAGUUGGUAAGGUAACGGCUUACCAAGGCAACGAUGCGUAGCCGACCUGAGAGGGUGAUCGGCCACACUGGAACUGAGACACGGUCCAGACUCCUACGGGAGGCAGCAGUAGGGAAUCUUCCGCAAUGGCCGAAAGCUUGACGGAGCAACGCCGCGUGAGUGAUGAAGGUCUUCGGAUCGUAAAACUCUGUUAUUAGGGAAGAACAAAUGUGUAAGUAACUAUGCACGUCUUGACGGUACCUAAUCAGAAAGCCACGGCUAACUACGUG